rnacentral:rRNA from 1 species
UAAGACAGAGGUGGCAAGCGUUGUUCGGAAUUACUGGGCGUAAAGCGCAUGUAGGCGGCCCGGCAAGGCCCAUGUAAAAUCCUACCGCUCAACGGUGGAAGGACGUGGGCGACUGCCGAGCUAGAGGUUGGGAGAGGAGAGUGGAAUUCCCGGUGUAGCGGUGAAAUGCGUAGAUAUCGGGAGGAAGGCCGGUGGCGAAGGCGACUCUCUGGAACAAUUCUGACGCUGAGGUGCGAAAGCGUAGGGAGCGAACAGGAUUAGAUACCCUGGUAGUCCACGCCCUAAACGAUGGGCACUAAGUGUCGCCGCUAUUUGGCGGCGGUGCCGCAGCUAACGCAGUAAGUGCCCCGCCUGGGGAGUACGGCCGCAAGGUUG